rnacentral:lncRNA from 1 species
UAGUUGAAGAUUAUUUUUCCCUUCAGGUUAUUUUUUUCUUAAUUUGCAGAAGCCUGUGAGUGAAGCACCUCUCUGGUUGAAUGGUUGAUAUCGUCAAAACUUUGAUGCCCACUGUUAUUUACUUCUCGUUUCUUCUCUCCUUUGGCUCUGUUAAAGCAGCCUGGUACUAUCGUUGCAUUGGCCUUGACCCUUAGAUUUUCAUAUAAAUUUAUCCCGUUGUUUUCCUUGUGUCCUGUAAUUAACUGCAGUGUUAUUGAUAGAUUUAAAUGAAGAGAAUGUUAAUGAAAUCAUUUUCUGAGAAAAUAUGCUUGCAGAAGGCAGUAAAGAAAGGGGAAGAGAAUAAGAAGGUGAAGAUUAAUAGUACUAGGUUGUUGAUUAGAGUGAAUGUGUUGGG